CAACCUGCCCCAGACACCGGGAUAACCAUCCGAAAGGAUGGCUAAUACCGGAUACGACCACUUUGGGCAUCCAACGGUGGUGGAAAGGAUUCUGGUCUGGGAUGGGCCGCGGCCUAUCAGCUUGUUGGUGGGGGUAAUGGCCUACCAAGGCGACGACGGGUAGCCGGCCUGAGAGGGCGACCGGCCACACUGGGACUGAGACACGGCCCAGACUCCUACGGGAGGCAGCAGGUGGGGAAUAUUGCGCAAUGGGACGAAAGCCUGACGCAGCGACGCCGCGUGAGGGACGAAGGUCUUCGGAUUGUAAACCUCUUUCAGCAGGGACGAAGCGAAAGUGACUGUACCUGCAGAAGAAGCACCGGCUAACUACGUGCCAGCAGCCGCGGUAAUACGUAGGGUGCAAGCGUUGUCCGGAUUUAUUGGGCGUAAAGAGCUCGUAGGCGGUUUGUCGCGUCGGAUGUGAAAACCCAAUGGCUUAACCUUGGGCCUGCAUUCGAUACGGGCAAACUAGAGUGUGGUAGGGGAG
rnacentral:rRNA from 1 species